UUUGUUCCUUUGUCUAUGAAGGAGAGAUUCUAGGUAUAAAAAGAUUUGAUUUUAUUUUUCGUCAUUUAUAUAUAAAUAGAAUAGUUGUUUGGAAAACGAAAUGAUAUCAUAUUCGUGAUGAGGCAAUGAAUUUAAGGAAUUUCGAAUAUAAUAUUUAAUGAAUAAUACAUUUGUUAAACUGAACAGGUUUUAUUUGAACUUGCCUAUAGUCAUUCGCCCACAAUUAUUUUUAUCGACGAGAUUGACUGGAUUGCCACAAAUAAAGGAGACUGUAUAUUGUCUGAACCUGCAAAGAGAUUCAGAUCAGAACUUCUUUCUAGAUUGGAUGGAUUAGUGUCUAAUGAGAAUUCUAAUGUAGUUCUUCUGGCUACAACUAAUUCCCCUUGGGGCAUUGAUGCAGCUUUACUCAGGCGGCUCGAAAAGCAAAUAUACGUCUCACUACCCAAUGAAGUUGCUCGACUUGGUAUAUUCAAAUUAUACCUUAGCAACCACUUAUUAGAAAAUAAAAUUGCUUUGUAAGCAAGCGUGGCUACUAGAAAUAAGCCCGAUAUGGAGGAGACUUGAAAAGAAAGAAACACCUGUUACCACUUUGAAAUAUGAAUUAAAAAGUUAUGAAAUAUUAGCAAAAUUGUUAAAAAAAAUGUCACCUACAGUUAUGCAAAUAGAUAAAUAUGAUACGUGGAACAAAUAAAUACGCAAUCGUAAGGACAGAUAUUGAAAAAUAUAAAUAAAUGGAUUAUCGUUCGAGAAAUCAUUCGCAUGUGUGUGUAUGUGUGUGCGCGCAUGUGUGUCAUGUGUGUGCGUGUGUGUGCGCGCACGCGCUAUAGGCUAAGUUUAAAAUGUUCGGUUGUAUUAUAUCCUUGUAUUAUAUAUGUCGGAGAUGAAAGGAAAACCGGAGCCUUCCCUUUGCAAUUUUGAGGAAGCCUUCUAAUGCUUUAGCCUAGAUUUUAUCAUAACUGUAAUUAAGCAAUUGUCAUUUGUAAUUGUUUGAUAUUUGUGAAAGCGAAAGUGGGUUCGAGGUGACAACUGGUCGCCGAACGUAGCCACGGUCACGGGAUAAACGUUUUGCCUGACGAAGGUGUGGAUCGGUUGUAUUGUUCUCCCUAGAAAUCACAUAGAAUUGUACUUUAGAGAUGUCGAUAUAAUGGGACACACGUUGUAUUAGGAAUCAAUCUCCAGACAGAAACUGCCUAGCAACGGCGUUUGAAUCUUUCUCGAUGUUUCCAAAGAGUAUACAACAAACUUUUGACAGAAAUUGCCUAGCAACAACGAUUGGAACCUUCUCGAUGUUUCCAGCGAGCAUAUAACAAACAAAUGCAAUCGUAUAGCGAAAAAGAUUUUCAUCAGAUAUUCAUUCGUGUGAUCACCUUGGAAAGUGAUACAUCGAGCAAUUUACCGAGUGUCUCAGCAAUUGUAGUUUGUGUUUAAAAUUAUUCUACACAUAGUAAAGAGUUAUCCUGUUGACCGUGGAUUCGUUUGAACCCCGGAACAUUGUUAAUAGCGUUAAUUAAAUUCAUUAUUCGUGAAACUUAUCAAUCGUUAAUCUCAUUAUACGUUAAAUUCAUUAUUCGUAAGACAUAUUAUUCGUUCCUCUUAUUGUUCGUUAAACUUAUUAAUCUUUAAUCUAAUUAUUAGUUAAACUUAUCGUUUGUUAAUCUUAUUAUUUAUUAAACUCAUUAUUCAUAAUAUUUUGUAAAACCUUGUUUAUUCGCGUAAAUAUAUUCUCUGUUUCGUAAAACAAUGGCUAAUUCAAACGAAGGAUCAUUACGCGCCUUAAAUCCUAAUGAUAACCCGACAUAUAUAUGUGAGUGUAUUUUAUCAAAAAUAUGUUUUUUAUGUUUUCUUAUCUUAGUAAUUAUUUUUAAAAAAGUCUUAAAGUCUUAUAUGAAAAUAAAGCUGUUCUUUAUUUCAAAUAAUUGAAGUAAAUAAAUACAAUGAGUUUUAUAUUUUA